CCCACAUCUCAGGGUCGGAGUCAGUUUCACAGAGCAGCGCAGGAGGACGACAGACACAUAAAGAACAUUAACAGUUUAGUUUGAAUCUCUCUCAGUCAGUCAGGGGGAGAUUAACUGACAGACUGUAUAACGUUACACGUCUUACCAAGAAACCUUUUAAAGUUUAGCACAAAUGUGUCUCGUGGAAGUUUGAAUCUCUCUCAGUCAGGGGGGAGAUUGACUGACAGACUGUCUACUUGCCACCAGACAGUAAUUUACCCUGAAACCUUUUUAAGUAAGGACUAACGUAAACUGACUCUCUGUCUGCUCUCAACCAGUUAUUUAAGACCUUCUAAAGCCUAGUGCAAACGUUUCCUGCGCAAGUUUGAAUCUCUCAGUCAGGGGGGAGAUUGACUGACUGACUGACUGACUGUCUACUCGCCACCAAACGUCAAAAGUCAGUUACACAGAAACCUUUUAAAGUUUAGCACAAAUGUUUCCCGUGGAAGUUUGAAUCUCUCUCAGUCGGGAGAUUGACUGACAGACUGUCUACUUGCCACCAGACAGUAAUUUACCCUGAAACCUUUUUAAGUAAGGACUAACGUAAACUGACUCUCAGUCUGCUCUCAACCAGUUAUUUAAGACCUUCUAAUGCCUAGUGCAAACGUUUCCUGCGCAAGUUUGAAUCUCUCAGUCAGGGGGGAGAUUGACUGACUGACUGUCUAUUUGCCACCAAACGUCAAAAGUCAGUUACACAGAAACCUUUUAAAGUUUAGCACAAACGUUUCCCGCGCAAGUUUGGAUCUUUACCAUUGAGGGUGGCUGACUGUUCUCGACCAACCAUCAUUCACACGCAAAAACUUUAAAGAUAAGUAUGAACGUGCCCAAAGCAGUUUUCGAUCUUUACCAUUAAGGAGGCUGACUGACUAUCGUCUACCACCCGUCAUUAACACAAGAAAAACUAAAGAAAUGUUACUCCAUAUGGACCUAUUCAUUUACUCAUUAUGCUGUGAGUACACCACAGUUUUAUCAGUGAAAAAAAUUAUAUUUGUGUGUUUUCUCACUGCUUGGCAAGGACAGAUGUGGCCCUGUUAAAAAUGUUUAAAUGUCGUUUGGUUUAAGGAACAGCACACUGAUUUUGUUUUAAAAUAUUCCUGUUUGGACAGUCUGUUAAAGUCAUAAAGGAAUACUUGAUAUAUUUCAUAAGUAAAGUGUAAAUGUAAUAUUAGUUUUUAAUGUUGUGAAUUUGGACUGAACAGCACACUUCUGUUUUAUAUCUAAACCUUUUGUAAAAUAAAUGAUUGUUCAAUAAACUGUGUAUUUUAUCUU